CUGGCAAUUAGAUUUAAUCACCAAGGAUUUUUAGGACCCCUCUGACACGGGAGAAUGUGUUUUGUCAUUCUAGUAGCAUUUAAAAAAGCACAUUUCUCUUGACAAUAUUUGUAAAAUAAUUACAGUGUGGACAUGUUUCAGAAAAUUUGCAAACACUGCCUUUAAGCAUUGGAUUGGCUAAAAAUCGACAAUUCUGAUGAUGUCACUAAGCGGGUGGGGCCAGUGCUGGCAGACCUGCAGGGCGCUGGAAAUAAGCUGAGUUUUUCAUACUUUUAAAGGGGCUGG